rnacentral:rRNA from 1 species
GAUGAACGCUGGCGGCGUGCCUAAUACAUGCCAGUCGAGCGAACGGACGAGAAGCUUGCUUCUCUGAUGUUAGCGGCGGACGGGUGAGUAACACGUGGAUAACCUACCUAUAAGACUGGGAUAACUUCGGGAAACUGGAGCUAAUACCGGAUAAUAUUUUGAACCGCAUGGUUCAAAAGUGAAAGACGGUCUUGCUGUCACUUAUAGAUGGAUCCGCGCUGCAUUAGCUAGUUGGUAAGGUAACGGCUUACCAAGGCAACGAUGCAUAGCCGACCUGAGAGGGUGAUCGGCCACACUGGAACUGAGACACGGUCCAGACUCCUACGGGAGGCAGCAGUAGGGAAUCUUCCGCAAUGGGCGAAAGCCUGACGGAGCAACGCCGCGUGAGUGAUGAAGGUCUUCGGAUCGUAAAACUCUGUUAUUAGGGAAGAACAUAUGUGUAAGUAACUGUGCACAUCUUGACGGUACCUAAUCAGAAAGCCACGGCUAACUACGUG